GGCCGGGUGGCGAAGAGGCUAACGCUGAGGUCUGCAAAACCUUCACCCGUGGGUUCGAAUCCCACCCCGGCCUCCA
rnacentral:tRNA from 1 species